UACGUAGGUGGCAAGCGUUAUCCGGAAUUAUUGGGCGUAAAGAGCGCGGAGGUGGUUGAUUAAGUCUGAUGUGAAAGCCCACGGCUUAACCGUGGAGGGUCAUUGGAAACUGGUCGACUUGAGUGCAGAAGAGGGAAGUGGAAUUCCAUGUGUAGCGGUGAAAUGCGUAGAGAUAUGGAGGAACACCAGUGGCGAAGGCGGCUUCCUGGUCUGUAACUGACACUGAGGCGCGAAAGCGUGGGGAGCAAACAGGAUUAGAUACCCCGGUA
rnacentral:rRNA from 1 species